GUCGACGAUUACUCCUACGGGAGGCAGCAGUGGGGAAUUUUGGACAAUGGGCGCAAGCCUGAUCCAGCCAUGCCGCGUGAGUGAAGAAGGCCUUCGGGUUGUAAAGCUCUUUCAGCCGGGAAGAAAACGCAUGGGUUAAUACCCUGUGUGGAUGACGGUACCGGAAUAAGAAGCACCGGCUAACUACGUGCCAGCAGCCGCGGUAAUAAUCUCUAGA
rnacentral:rRNA from 1 species